UGUAUUUCUAAACCAAGUCAGUCUUAAUCCCUCUGAAUUCCCUCCUUAGGCGCAAGUUCAGGGAACUACAAAGCUGAAGUUGUAGUCUUUCAUUUGGAGUCAAACUCAGUCCCUUCCCCUCUCAAACCGUAAGCCCACAAAGAAGAACAUCAAGGAGGAAUAGACUUGCAUCUUCCUCUGUUCGGCUGGGUGAAGGUUUCUGUUUGCAUGCAGCCUGGAACCAACACUUAUUUCCACUCUUCCUUGCCUAACCAGCCGAAGACACAUACCCAAGGAGUCACAAGCUCGAUUUCUUGGAGUGGUGCAGUGGGAGGCUGCUGCUUGAAUUGUAGCGCUAACCUUGCUGUAGUCUUGGAGGAAAUUAAGGGAGUCAUGUGCAUCAUUUUAUUCCCUGCUUCUACAUAAUGGAUUAUCUUAGAAUUGAAUAAUCACAAGUAGAUGUGCGCAUAACUCUUGAGUGGAGGUUGUAUUGCGGCUGUUUGGAAAUAUUUGUGACAAGAGAGGAGGACGGGAGAGCAUAUGAAGACAUGAUUAUAUGGAUAUCUACUGUUAUGUGUUGCUCUCUGGACUUUUGCUGUUUAUUUGUUGGAUGAUUGUAUUAAGCUGAAUAGUUUGGAUUAUUGUUGGAUUAUGAUUUUAUUGCUGUUUUAAGACUUUUAUGAUCAGCAAAUAUUUUGGAAACAAAUUCUAUAAACGUU